rnacentral:rRNA from 1 species
CGGCGAGUGAAGCGGGAAGAGCUCAAAUUUGGANUCUCACUGGUCUCCAGUGCGAGUUGUAGUUUAUAGAAGUGUUUUCGGUGGACGCCUGGGUAUAAGUCCUUUGGAACAGGGCAUCAUAGAGGGUGAGAAUCCCGUCCAUGACCCAGAGUUGUUCACUAUGUGAUACACUUUCGAAGAGUCAGGUUGUUUGGGAAUGCAGCCUAAAAUGGGUGGUAAAUGCCAUCUAAAGCUAAAUAUUGGCGAGAGACCGAUAGCGAACAAGUACCGUGAGGGAAAGAUGAAAAGAACUUUGAAAAGAGAGUUAAACAGUACGUGAAAUUGUUGAAAGGGAAACGUUUGAAACCAGCGAUGCUUGCGGGUGAUCACUUCUGGUGCUCUCACCUGUCGGCAAGUCAGCGUCAGUUUUGGUCGCCGGAAAAAGAAUCAAGGGAAUGUGGCUUCCUCCGGGGAGUGUUUAUAGCCCUGGUUUGUACGGUGGCUGGGACUGAGGUCUGCAGUCAAAGCAUUUUGCUUGGAGGCCCGUCCGCUGGUGGUAGAUCGGUGCUAGACAGCUUGCUGACUUGCGUUGAUUCUGUCUCCACACGGUCGAGGUCUCUCAAAUUGGCUUAGGUCGCUGACUUAAUGGUUUAAAAUGACC